UACAGAGGUCUCAAGCGUUGUUCGGAUUCAUUGGGGCGUAAAAGGGGUGCGUAGGCGGCGCGGUAAGUCGGGUGUGAAAUCUCGGGCUUAACUCCGAAACUGCAUUCGAUACUGCCGUGCUUUGAGGACUGGAGAGGAGACUGGAAUUUACGGUGUAGCGGUGAAAUGCGUAGAUAUCGGUAAGGAAGACCAGUGGCGAAGGCGGGUCUCUGGACAGUUC
rnacentral:rRNA from 1 species